rnacentral:rRNA from 1 species
UACGUAGGGGGCAAGCGUUGUCCGGAUUUAUUGGGCGUAAAGAGCGUGUAGGCGGCCAUGCAGGUCAGCUGUGAAAACUCGAGGCUCAACCUCGAGACGUCGGUUGAAACCGUAUGGCUAGAGUCCGGAAGAGGAGAGUGGAAUUCCCGGUGUAGCGGUGAAAUGCGCAGAUAUCGGGAAGAACACCCAUGGCGAAGGCAGCUCUCUGGGACGGUACUGACGCUGAGACGCGAAAGCGUGGGGAGCAAACAGGG